rnacentral:rRNA from 1 species
GGCUGCAGAAUCACUAACUGUACAAAGGUAGCAUAAUAAUUUGGUUUCUAAUUAAAACCUUGAAUGAACGAUUUAAUGAGGUAUAAACUUUAUAAAUAAAAUAAAUUUAAAUUUUUAUUUAAGUAAAAAAACUUAAAUUUAUAAAAAAGACGACAAGACCCUAUAGAAUUUUAUUUAUUUAAAAAUUAAAUUUAAUUUAUAAUAAUUUUUAAAUAAAUUUUAUUGGGGUAAUAAAAAAAUUUAACAAAUUUUUUUAAAAAUAAACAAUAAUUAUUGAAAAAAAAUCUUAAAAUUUAAAUUAAUAAAAUUAAUUACCUUAGGGAUAACAGCAUAAUUUUUUUUAAAAGAUCUUAUUAAUAAAAAAGAUUAU